rnacentral:SRP_RNA from 1 species
GACGGAAGGUAUGUCAACGUGCCUUACGCCGAGUUCCAAGAGAUUCCGACGCUUGACCCUUCGCACAAACAGCAGGUGCUAGUUGUUGCCGCGCCUGGCCACACCUU